rfam:Erinaceus europaeus unplaced genomic scaffold scaffold00003, whole genome shotgun sequence
ACAAUCUCAUGAUCCUUGUAUUCACUUCAGUAGGAAUGAUAGAGGGAAGAUUAGAAUGGCCCCUGCCCAUGGAUCACACAAACUUCUGAGCCAUUAUAACCCCUUUA